rnacentral:rRNA from 1 species
GAAAAGAAGNNNNNGNGCGANNCUACCANGCAGNCGUACGAGAGUUUUUACUCUAGUGGCGGACGGGUGAGUAACACGUGAGAAUUUACCUUUGGGAGGGGGAUAACAAUUGGAAACGACUGCUAAUACCCCAUAUGCUUUUGAGUGAAAUGGAUUUAUAUUUAUCCGCCUAGAGAGAAGCUCGCGGCUGAUUAGCUUGUUGGUAAGGUAAGAGCUUACCAAGGCGACGAUCAGUAUCUGGUUUGAGAGGACGAUCAGACACACUGGAACUGAGACACGGUCCAGACUCCUACGGGAGGCAGCAGUGGGGAAUUUUCCGCAAUGGGCGAAAGCCUGACGGAGCAAUACCGCGUGAGGGAAGACUGCCUAUGGGUUGUAAACCUCUUUUUUCAGGGAGGAAUAAAAUGACGUGUACCUGAAGAAUAAGCAUCGGCUAACUCCGUGCCAGCAGCCGCGGUAAGACGGAGGAUGCAAGUGUUAUCCGGAAUCACUGGGCGUAAAGCGUCUGUAGGUGGUUUGAUAAGUCAACUGUUACAUCUUGAGGCUCAACUUCAGAAUCGCAGUCGAAACUAUUAGACUAGAGUAUAGUAGAGGUAAAGGGAAUUUCCAGUGGAGCGGUGAAAUGCGUAGAUAUUGGAAAGAACACCGAUGGCGAAAGCACUUUACUGGGCUAUUACUAACACUCAGAGACGAAAGCUAGGGUAGCAAAUGGGAUUAGAUACCCCAGUAGUCCUAGCCGUAAACUAUGGAUACUAGAUGUUGAACAGGAUCGACCUGUGCAGUAUCAAAGCUAACGCGUUAAGUAUCC